rnacentral:rRNA from 1 species
GACGAACGCUGGCGGCGUGCCUAAUACAUGCAAGUCGAACGCUUCUUUCCUCCCGAGUGCUUGCACUCAAUUGGAAAGAGGAGUGGCGGACGGGUGAGUAACACGUGGGUAACCUACCCAUCAGAGGGGGAUAACACUUGGAAACAGGUGCUAAUACCGCAUAACAGUUUAUGCCGCAUGGCAUAAGAGUGAAAGGCGCUUUCGGGUGUCGUUGAUGGAUGGACCCGCGGUGCAUAGCUAGUUGGUGAGGUAACGGCUCACCAAGGCCACGAUGCAUAGCCGACCUGAGAGGGUGAUCGGCCACACUGGGACUGAGACACGGCCCAGACUCCUACGGGAGGCAGCAGUAGGGAAUCUUCGGCAAUGGACGAAAGUCUGACCGAGCAACGCCGCGUGAGUGAAGAAGGGUGUCGGAUCGUAAAACUCUGUUGUUAGAGAAGAACAAGGACGUUAGUAACUGAACGUCCCCUGACGGUAUCUAACCAGAAAGCCACGGCUAACUACGUGC